AAGCGUCCGAUGCAGAAACACCGUGGGUCUCGAUGACUGGGUUGGAGAUGUUCCGUCGCCCGAACGAGCAAGUUCAGCCCGCCUCCGCUGAGUCAGGAAUGGGGAAUCUCUGGAUCCAGCUACCUGGCCGAGUUGUCCUAAGCGCUGGAGAGACACAGCCCUGCAAAGGAAUUCGUGGAAGUCUUGCAUCCAUUUUAGAAGGCGCGUAAAAUGAGACGACUGAGGGCCCGGAAGACACACAAGGCACAGACUUGAAAGGAGAAGGUGGUGCUGUCGGUGGGGAUGAGCCUGGAAAGUUGUGUUUUUCACUGUGCGUUAUUUCCGUGAUGAGCUGUUGAUGGAACGUGCAUCGUGACCUGAGCGGACCACGAACGAAGCCACCUGAUUCCCCUCUCAUGGAAGAAAUUAUUCGUGUUCACCGGAGACUUGCAUGUGUGCAUCCGAAUCAUCCCCAGCCUUGAUGCGAUCUCCACCAUGCUCGUCGCCGUCCAUGAGUCACGGUUAUUUUGUUGCUGGUGGUGGCGGAGGCCACCGGGUGGAUGAGGGGAUGAGGUCAGCGUUCAUGGGGACUGAUGCUCCCGCUCUUUCCGUCCGCUGCUCAAGGACACACGUCCCGCUCCAUCUCCCUUCCUCUGACGUGGACAC